GGUGCGUGCCAGAUUCAAAAAGUUAACGUUACAAGACGAGCAACGCGCUAAAAUUAUUAUUAUUAUUAUUAUUGUUGAAUUGUAGCUAUUCGUUGUCGCAGAAUGGCAAGAAAAGAGGAUUUGAAGAGAGAGAGAGAGACAGAAAGAUGGAGCUGCAAACGCAGCUGGUCACUGGCCGCUAAGCCAGACACAGGAUGAGGAGAUGAAGCUAAGCCUGAUGAAGGAAAGCAAGCGCUGCCAGGCGGCUCCCCUGCUAGCGCCAGCGUCGCGUUCAGGAGAUAUUUUACCAGCUCCACAGAGCACGCUGUUCAAAAAAACAUCGGUACUUUUCCAUCUGUGUGAUCUUCAACAAUUAUGCCAUCAGCUUGUUCAGAAGCUCCUGAAGGUCCUCCAGGGAGUAGGAGCGCAUCCCCCGCACCUCCUGCUGCUGUGACUGCUCCGUGUGC